UAACACAUGCAAGUCGAGGGGAAACGGCAUUAUGUGCUUCCACAUUUUGGACGUCGACCGGCGCACGGGUGAGUAUCGCGUAUCCAACCUGCCCUUUACUUGGGGAUACCCCGUUGAAAGACGGCCUAAUACCCGAUGUAAUUCAUUGAUGGCAUCAGAUAUGAAUAAAGGAUUUAUCGGUAAAGGAUGGGGAUGCGUCUGAUUAGCUUGUUGGUGAGGUAACGGCUCACCAAGGCAACGAUCAGUAGGGGUUCUGAGAGGAAGGUCCCCCACAUUGGAACUGAGACACGGUCCAAACUCCUACGGGAGGCAGCAGUGAGGAAUAUUGGUCAAUGGGCGGAAGCCUGAACCAGCCAAGUAGCGUGCAGGAAGACGGCCCUAUGGGUUGUAAACUGCUUUUAUACGAGAAUAAUUUGAUGCACGUGUGCGUUAUUGCACGUAUCGUAUGAAUAAGGACCGGCUAAUUCCGUGCCAGCAGCCGCGGUAAUACGGAAGGUCCAGGCGUUAUCCGGAUUUAUUGGGUUUAAAGGGAGUGUAGGCGGUUUGUUAAGCGUGUUGUGAAAUUUAGAUGCUCAACAUUUAACUUGCAGCGCGAACUGUCAGACUUGAGUACACGCAACGUAUGCGGAAUUCAUGGUGUAGCGGUGAAAUGCUUAGAUAUCAUGAAGAACUCCGAUUGCGAAGGCAGCAUACGGGAGUGUAACUGACGCUUAAGCUCGAAGGUGCGGGUAUCGAACAGGAUUAGAUACCCUGGUAGUCCGCACAGUAAACGAUGGAUGCCCGCUGUUAGCGCCUGGCGUUAGCGGCUAAGCGAAAGCAUUAAGCAUCCC
rnacentral:rRNA from 1 species